GACGAACGCUGGCGGCGUGCCUAAUACAUGCAAGUCGAGCGGACAGAUAAGGAGCUUGCUCCUUUGAAGUCAGCGGCGGACGGGUGAGUAGCACGUGGGCAACCUGCCUAUAAGACUGGGAUAACUCCGGGAAACCGGGGCUAAUACCGGAUAGAUUCUUUCCUCUCAUGAGGAAAGAAGGAAAGAUGGUUUCGGCUAUCACUUAUAGAUGGGCCCGGGGCGCAUUAGCCAGUUGGUAAGGUAACGGCUUACCUAGGGGACGAUGGGUAGCCGACCUGAGAGGGUGAUCGGCCACACUGGGACUGAGACACGGCCCAGACUCCUACGGGAGGCAGCAGUAGGGAAUCUUCCGCAAUGGACGAAAGUCUGACGGAGCAACGCCGCGUGAACGAAGAAGGCCUUCGGGUCGUAAGUUCUGUUGUUAGGGAAGAACAAGUACGAUAGUAACUGAUCGUACCUUGACGGUACCUAACCAGAAAGCCACGGCUAACUACGUGCCAGCCGCCGCAGUAACAC
rnacentral:rRNA from 1 species